rnacentral:rRNA from 1 species
AGAGUUCGAUCCUGGCUCAGAACGAACGCUGGCGGCGCGUCUUAAGCAUGCAAGUCGGGCGGGAUCCACGCGCUUGCGCGUGGUGAGAGCGGCGGACUGGCGAGUAACACGUGGGCGACGCGCCCUCCGGACGGGAAUAGCCUGCAGAAAUGCAGGGUAAUGCCGGAUGCGAACGCACGGGCUGGAGCCGUGCGUGGAAAGCCCCCACGGGGGCGCCGGAGGAGCGGCCCGCGGCCCAUCAGCUGGUAGGCGGUGCAAGGGACCACCUAGGCUACGACGGGUACCCGGCCUCAGAGGGCGGACGGGCGCAUUGGGACUGAGAUACGGCCCAGACUCCUACGGGAGGCAGCAGCUAAGAAUAUUCCGCAAUGGGGGGAACCCUGACGGAGCGACGCCGCGUGGGCGAGGAAGGCCGGAAGGUUGUAAAGCCCUUUUGCGCGCGAGGAAUAAGGGGAGGAGGGAAUGCCUUCCCGGUGACUGUAGCGCGCGAAUAAGCGCCGGCUAAUUACGUGCCAGCAGCCGCGGUAACACGUAAGGCGCGAGCGUUGUUCGGAAUCAUUGGGCGUAAAGGGCGUGUAGGCGGCCCUGCAAGCCUGGCGUGAAAUCCCGGGGCCCAACCCCGGAACCGCGCUGGGAACUGCUGGGCUUGAGCCGCUGUGGCGCAGCCGGAAUUCCAGGUGUAGGGGUGAAAUCUGUAGAUAUCUGGAAGAACACCGAUGGCGAAGGCAGGCUGCGAGCGGACGGCUGACGCUGAGGCGCGAAGGCGCGGGGAGCGAACAGGAUUAGAUACCCUGGUAGUCCGCGCAGUAAACGAUGCACACUGGGUGUCCGGGCAUGAGCCCGGGUGCCGAAGCGAACGCGUUAAGUGUGCCGCCUGGGGAGUAUGCCCGCAAGGGUGAAACUCAAAGGA